rnacentral:sRNA from 1 species
UAUUUGGUUUUUCGAAUGCAAUAUCAAUUAUUUAGUUCUGAAGAAAUUCGUGCAAAUUGCUGCUUAAUUCCCAAAAAUGGUAAAAAUAUAAUUUAGCAUUCUAUGGCAGCAAAAGGUUUUACGCAGUGAAGAUAAUAAAUCCCAUCCAACCCGUUAACAGAAUCCAACUUUUACUUUUCGAAGGAUACCCUCUGGCUGAAGGAGUGUCGAAGUGCGGGGAGAAUGUCUGACGGGCGGGGAGGGGGGCGCAAAGUGCCAGAGAGUGCUGCUAACUCAUUUCACAAUUUGCCAGCCAGGAACGGUUUUAAUGUGAAAACUUUUGUGGCUACAAUGUAUCCACACGGAAAGGUACGAGUGCGACUGCAGGACUACAGGAAACAGACAGACCUUGCUCCUGGCCCCUGAUCCUGUGCCAUGAUUAAGUUGCGCAAAAGUUCGGCUUCCAUUUCUGGCCAACAAUGGCUUCAGCCCCCUUUGCGGAGUAAGGAGAGUAAAUCGGAGUCAGUGGGCCAAAUGCAAUCAAAUGUUCAAAACAAAACAAAACAAUUGUUACAACAGAAAGCGGGAUGCGGGCAUAACGCAUUUCUAGGCCAUACAGUUGCCUUGGUCAUGUCUCAUUCAAUUCCCAUCAGAAACAUACUUGAAAUGAAGCACACUUGUAAAUGAAUUAUGUUUAAACUCUUAAGUUGGUUACGCAGCCCAAUAUUAACCAAUAGGCCAUCGAUCAUAGCCAGUGCUGCAGCAGCAGUGUUGUUUGCACUGCCCACUCUACCACAUUAUAAUCCACAUACAUACAUACGCAUACAUACGCUCCCGUUCUCUCGCGCCUUUCCUUCGCCUUCUCUACCGCUCUCUCGAUCAGUCGCGCUCUCGCUUGCAUAGGCACUUUGGAACCUUGAAAGCUCCGUAGCUCAACACCCACCACGACCAUUGAACAUUGAGACGCUCUGGAAGAGCUUGAAUGUAAAUCAAAUACAAAUAAGCUACAAAUAAAUGUUACUUGUGCCGUACCGGCACAAACACACGCCCAUGGAGGAAAAAUGUUACAUUUGCUAUCAUUUCGAUAUAAUUUGCAUAACAACUAAAAUCUGCUGAUCGUGAUCGUAUCUUGUACCUUACUGUAAUGUUGUAUGUGCAGCAAAAGGGUCCUAUGUAUAGUACACAUGUCAGAGUUAAGUUUCGUGACGGACGAAUAUGUUUGCACAUGUGUACUUUAUUGAGUUGAAAACGAUUUAUUCUUUGCAUUGCAAACAUCUGGUUGAAAUUAUAAAAGCUUUACAAAUUCAACACAAAGGGGUAUUCAAGACAACAGUGCCUUCAGCGAAGAAGGAAAAAUAGGCAAAGGAAGAUGUACGUGUUAUGUGGUCCAUGCUAUUCUCACUCAAUCAAUAAUCCCAGCGGUGGGGGAAUACAAGAAGGACUCUCCGUCACCGUCUUUGCCCCUUCAGAAAGUAAGCAGUAAUAUGAAGAGCAGAGGCUGCUUUCAAUUCCGAUUUCUCUGGAAAUCGAAAGCGGACUACGGACUAUGCAAAUCCGAGCUUGUCGGCUUCUGUGCCGUGCCACAAAAUACAUUUACAUAAAAAUGCACUUGAUCUAGUUGACGGUGGGGCGUGAGGAGGGGCGCAGAUGUGUGUAAAUAUACAUAUCUCCUUACAGCUGUCAAUGUGUUCACACGCGUGGUGCCGACUGCCUUGGUGUCUUCAUCCGGUCUCCCUUUUCUUUUCGGGAGUUUUCCUCGAUGAUACGAAAGCUAAUCGGCUUUGGGAUGGGGUAAUACUUUGUGCAAGAUAGGAGAAUCCUUAUCAGAAAUCACACAGUUAACGUAUUUAACCUGAAUGAAAUCCAUGGGCUUACUCGGAUGGGAAAGGCGUACACGUUGCUCUUUAAAAUGCAGGCACCUGCAAAGUUUUUCCUUCAUAUGCAAGGAUAAUCUUUAAACUGUAAGAAACAAAAUCCGUCUUUCCAUUAGCACUAUUUCGUAAUUGGCUCAUUGCUGGCUCCGUUCCGUUUCAAUCUCAUGGUCGGGUUCUGUUGCUAAGCAAUUUGCACAGCUUCCGUUGGUGAAUAACCCCCACCGCGCCCCGCGCCCCUGCCCCGGCACUUCUAUGAGCAGGCCCAGUCGUAGAGGACUAAUUAAUUUCAUGGUACAGGCCCAGGUACAGGUACAGCUACAGGUCAGUGGUUGAGCUGCAUGGCUGGGAUUACACGCUAAGCCUGUGCUUUGAACGCUUCAAUGGCCGAGUGGGUAAUUGGUAGGAGCGAUGGAAGAGCUGUGCUCGGACUAAUUCCCUGCAUAUAAUUACAUCUGAAAUGUGGCCAUAUUGGCGGGGAGCAGGGACUGGCACUGGCACUGGUACUGGUAUUGGUACUGGUGGUACUGGUCCUCAGCCGCUUUAAUUUGCUUCCAUUUAGCCUUAAGGGAACUUCUGGACACUCAGACAUCAAUAAUAAAUGAGACUCGACAAAAGUUGUAAACCUUUUUCGGCACUUAUCUGUCACACGUCACACGGCGCCAACAUCAUUUGUCAAUUGUCAUGGCUGCCGGCUUAAGCUCUACUCCACUCCACUCUACUCUUAUCCUUUGUCUCUACUCCCACCUCUCGUGCCCCCUUACGUUUCCCGUACUCUUAGUUCAUUUACACAGAAGGACACCCGCAUACAGAAGUUCUGUUUACCAACGUUUCGUUUCCCUUGUCACGCCCAAUUGUUAAAAAUGACAAGUAAUUAAUUUCUGUCCGACCCCGAUCCCGACUCAACCCCCCUCCCACACUGACCACAGUGCAAGCAUUCUGUGGAGGAAUUGGCCACGCUUCGCCCUCAGCUUCCGUGUCCAGGGAGCCAUGUCCCUGGCUGGCACAUUCCCUAGCUUACUUCGAUUGCCUAUAAUUUGAGGUCAACUCUCUUGAAUUCUCUGAGUGAUUUGUCGACUUAAGGGUUAAUGAGUGGCCUGUGGUUUGAGGGCACAAUCAGAUUGAUGUUGGGUAAAUUACUUAAAUGUUAGAAUAUCUUCACUGAAGUUAUUAGUCUAAACAGGUAUCGAUUCAGGGCUUCACCGGACCUUAAAUGUUAGAAUAUCUUCACUGAAGUUGAUAGUCUAAACAGGUAACGAUUCAGGGCUUCACCGGAACUUGUCCAACAAACUGCUGGGAGUGCAUUUAAGAAGCAAAUUAUCCAUGCUCUAAGGACUGAAUAGAAGACAUGGGUACUCGCACAUUCUCCCCCUCAUUCAUUCAUGACCAUUCAGAGAGCACUAUUCCAUGACUCGCUCCACAUCCUUUGACCACUUGCCGCAGUGCCUUUCGGUCCCAUCCAAAGCAGCGUCACAAAUGACUUCAUUAGCCAGCGCUCCCAUUCCCAUCCUCCCUCGAUGCUGCCGCGGAGACGCUACCUCUAUUAGCUGAACAUGCCCCGCAACCUACAUUCCACAUCCACUUAGCGCUGAUAAGCUGCUCAGCGGGGGGCAUGGCAAGAGCGUCAGGUUAGGUCUGGAGGAUACUUUGGGGCAGGAGGAGUGAUGACAGCUCCCGGACUGCACACAAAUGCCAUCAUUAACAGGCUGGAAGCGAUUUUAUUGUGUUUGGCUUAAGCUCUUAACUCUCUCCCCUCUCCGAUGUCUUCUCUUUGAGCUCCUCUCAUCAGUUGGCCUAAUGAUUUUCACUCUACAGUGGGCUUAAUGGUAAAAAAAGAAAUGGCCAACAACUUUCCCGACUGCACUGGCUGCAUUUACUGGCUGAUGAGCAAAACAUGUGUUCCAAAACUUGGACAGAGUCCUUCUAUCUCUCUCUCUCUCUCUCUCUCCCAUUACCUCACCCCAUUUCUCUGGUACCCCUUCCUCGCUGAGUCUGUCUAAUGCUGCAAUUUGUAGACCGCUGGUUUUAUUACGGCCUGGGGCUGUGGAGCAACGAAGAGCCAGGGCCGGGCCCCAUGCUGCUCGCCGCAGGAGGCUCCUGGCUUAUGCACCCCAUCCAUAUACAUAUGUACGGAUCCGUACUUAGCUGCUUUUGGGGGCUGGUCGAGAAACUUUCAGCAGCUGGCAAGUUGGCGACAUUUUCGGCUGCCAAAAAGUUUCAGAGCUGUGUUCGUGGCGGUUCUGUGAGAGCUCUCGUUCCGCUUUGAGUGGAGUUCAUUACGAAUGCCGCGUGUUGACUUAUGCAUAAUUACUGUUUUUCAUGGCCCCCAGACCAGGAUACUACAGACUCUUCAGACCAGAGUAGACUAUGGCAUGGCGACCAGGCGAGGCAAAAGUUUUUGGACCGCGUUGCACUGCCAGUGCGACUCCCUGCCCCCGCUCUGUUCCGUUUCGCUCCGGCCGGGUGGGUCAUAUGCUCAUUUAUGUGGAUGACGCACUGACCUGUUUCUAAUGCAACAAAAACGCUAAGGCGCCUGCCAGGCACUCUCGGUGCAGUCAACUGUGCCCUUUUGCCUCAGGGAGCUCCGAAAGCACGCAGCAGCGCCCUCUCCUUGCAGCCGUAGCAUACUUUUUGCGCCUGCCUAACAGUUUAUUUUACGCACGCCUUGACCAGAGAGCGAGAGAGAGGAAGAGGCUGCAGGGGCGGGCGGCGACUGCAGCACUUUUCCAGCAAGUGGAAAAGUCAAGCGGAUAAACAAGAGAUUAAAAUGUCAUAAACAAUGCUUUUUGCUCUUCCUGCCACGCCCCGCUCCCGAUCCGGCUCCUUUUUCUGCCAAGCAACUUAAUGAAAGUCGCUCGAGUGCCCAGAGUGCAGUCGAGGAAAAGUGUUUCCUUUGCUGCAGCGAAAACUAUUUUCGAAUUGAAACUUUCCAUUGCACCCAUGUCUGCCCCGUCAAGGGGCUGAACGGGAGAUAGGCAUCGCUGGGGCAAGUUGAAGCCCCGUCGAUGGCAACUCAAUAAAUUUCCAUUAAACUUUUGAUUUGUAUCUAUGACUUUUUGCGGAGAAAAUGCAAUUGAAAUUGCUUUCUGUGGGGGCACAAAAAACGUAUGCACGAACAUAUGUACAUAUGUAAAAUAUUCGAACACCCAGCCAAAGGCCAGAGUAGUCCCUGCAUGAAUGCUGCCUCAAAAGAGUAUUCCAACAUCGACCAGGGCUCGAAAUAACUUUCCAUGUUUGUAACACAAUUGAAAAAAAAAACUUUAUUUUCGCUGGGCCUGCGAACAGGAGGAGCGUUACACAAAUGAUAAACUAUCAUACAGAGGCAUAAAUUAUGUUCACUCCCGUAUUUGCGCAA